UUUUAUCUUCAGGGCGGGGUGUGAGUCCCCACCGGCGGUAAAGCCCGCGAGCCGAAAGGCUGAUUCGGUGUAAUUCCGAAGCCGACAGUAUAGUCUGGAUGGAAGAAGGUAUAA
rnacentral:ncRNA from 2 species